UUCGCGUUGCUNGGGUCUUCGACGCAGUUACGGCGAAUNAUCGCCGACGGCUCUGGCUGUAUGGGAACUUCCCAGUACAGCGCAGAGCGGUCGCCGGUCAGUCCGGCGCGCCCACGCAGCGACUGCACGAACGAUAACAAGCGUNAGUNAAAACCCGAAUGGUUUCCAAGCAUUGUUAUAAGGUAUCUACACCUNAAUACAUAGGGUGUAAGAAGCNAACGCAGGGAACUNAAACAUCUAAGUACCUGCAGGAAAGGACAUCAACCGAGACUCCGCAAG
rnacentral:rRNA from 1 species